rnacentral:rRNA from 1 species
GCAUAGCCCGAGUUGAGAGACUGAUCGGGCCACUUGGGGACUGAGACACGGGCCCAAACUCCUACCGGGAGGCAGCAGUAGGGAAUCUUCCACAAUGGACGAAAGUCUGAUGGAGCAAACGCCGCGUGAGUGAAGAAGGUUUUCGGAUCGUAAAGCUCUGUUGUUGGUGAAGAAGGAUAGAGGUAGUAACUGGCCCUUUAUUUGACGGUAAUCAACCAGAAAGUCACGGGCUAACUACGUGCCAGCAGCCGCGGUAAAU